rnacentral:rRNA from 1 species
AGAGUUUGAUCCUGGCUCAGGAUGAACGCUGGCGGCGUGCUUAACACAUGCAAGUCGAACGGGGGCGUGAUGUGCGAGAGGGAUAGUUUACUAGACUUCAAACUUUUCACGCCCUAGUGGCGGACGGGUGAGUAACGCGUGGGUAACCUGCCAUAUACAGGGGGAUAACACUUAGAAAUAGGUGCUAAUACCGCAUAAGCGCACAGGGGCGCAUGCCCCGGUGUGAAAAACUCCGGUGGUAUAUGAUGGACCCGCGUCUGAUUAGCCAGUUGGCAGGGUAACGGCCUACCAAAGCGACGAUCAGUAGCCGGCCUGAGAGGGCGGACGGCCACAUUGGGACUGAGACACGGCCCAAACUCCUACGGGAGGCAGCAGUGGGGGAUAUUGCACAAUGGGGGAAACCCUGAUGCAGCGACGCCGCGUGAGUGAAGAAGUAUUUCGGUAUGUAAAGCUCUAUCAGCAGGGAAGAAAAUGACAGUACCUGACCAAGAAGCCCCGGCUAACUACGUGCCAGCAGCCGCGGUAAUACGUAGGGGGCAAGCGUUAUCCGGAUUUACUGGGUGUAAAGGGAGCGUAGACGGUUAUGUAAGUCUGGAGUGAAAGCCCGGGGCCCAACCCCGGGACUGCUUUGGAAACUGUGUAACUGGAGUACAGGAGGGGCAGGCGGAAUUCCUGGUGUAGCGGUGAAAUGCGUAGAUAUCAGGAGGAACACCGGCGGCGAAGGCGGCCUGCUGGACUGAAACUGACGUUGAGGCUCGAAAGCGUGGGGAGCAAACAGGAUUAGAUACCCUGGUAGUCCACGCCGUAAACGAUGAA